GGUCAUGGUUUUAAAACCAGGUGUACCUUACGUUGGGUGUCCUGCAGGUUACUAUACCUUGAGUUUAAAGUCGACUUCCUCUUACAUUUCUCCCCUGCUUUGGAUCUGCUUUGUGCUUGGCUGCUGAGAGAGCAGCACAGGCUAAGACAGUGUAUUCCUCCCAGGUCUCUCGCCCUUCUCAUCGUCCGUCUGUCCGUCAGUCCGUCCGUCCUUCCCUCCCUCUCCCCUUAAAUUCUUUCCUUCUGGUUCUUCCACCGGGCCAUUUUCCACAUCUGCAUCAGAAGAGAUGCCUCCCAUGUUAGUAUCUGAUAAUAUCAGUCUCUCCUUAUCAGAGGAGAGACCUUUUAUUUUUAAGAUGACUACAGACCUAUUUUUAGAUAAGUUUUCAGUACAAUUUUGAACUACAACUUUUUUAACAAAACAUCUUCCAGUAUUGGGAAGGUUAUUUUAAAAAGAAAAAAAAACAAUGUUUGUAGGCAAGUCCACUGCUGUCACUGUCCUUUGUCUCCCAUAGCCCCUUCUGAGCUCUCCUGUGCCCUUGAGCUUUGGGGCUAUUUGGAGUGUAGAAUGGGUGUUUUGUGAAACUGGACCAGUCUGCCUUGCCAUGAGCUGUUGAAGAAAACUCCUGUCCCUCUCUCCCCCCUACCCCCCCAACCCCCCCCCCCCCGCCACUCCCCCAUAUCCCACUCUCCUGUACCGUGGUCCACAUGGAGAUCCCAGGAGAGAGGCUUCCGACACACAGGCUCAUCCAUCCAUCCUCCUGAGGGGAGACAGUAAAGCAAUCAGGGGUGCCCUGGGAGUUUCUGGUUGUAUUGGAUGCCUAUACUAAGCCCCCUUAGUAAGAUUUCAGGUCCCCAUUGGCUGGGAAAGAAAGCUGUUUGUUUUUCUUUUGAACCAUGGAAAGACCCUCUUUUGUGAAGACUUUAGGAAAAACAAAGAAGGGACAUCUUCAGACCUCGGUUCUGGUUUCUGCUACACAAUGUGAAAUAGCUCGGAGUGUAACCCUCUGUGACGGUCGCUGUCUCAGGAAUAAGCUUGGGGGUCUCCAAUGCUUGGGGAUUCUUGGAGUUUCCAAGGUGAUAAUCACAAGAGUUUUAUUUCUCUGUUAAAUGUAUCUGUACUGUUUUUAAUUAAACUCCAAAUUUCAUUUCCUAUGGAGUCUUGGGAAAACGUAAGCUGUGCUGUCAUUGGGCUAAGAAGCUUGUUCGGGACCUUGUUCGUACCUGGGAGCAAGGCUCAUAGUUCUUCAAGCUGGCGGAGCCUCCUAUGGACUCUGAAUCCUGCUGAAGUGAGGAGGUUGUGAGAAGAGCAUCUGCUUCCUCACUGAACAGCGGUCUGCACAGAGCGGCUUCCUCCUGGACCACAGCCCGGAAUGGAUCUGAGACGUGGGCACUGAGCAGGGAACUGUUUCCCUUUUCUUGCCAUCUUGGGGAGUCUGCUUGUGCACCUCCUCUUCCCUCAGUCAGUGGACAUGUGCUAGUAUUCUUUGGAGUGUUACCUGUGUGGGGCAGGAGCCUUCCAGCCUUGGGUCCUCUGCCAGGAUCCCUCACUUCCAGGGACGAGCCUAUUCUGAAGGCCGCCACUACCUGGUCUUUGACCUCCGUAAAUCAGCAGUGUGAGAUAAUUGCACAAGACAAGAAAUCAGCUUCCAAUGACAGCAUCUUUGUACAUGAGCCAUUUUCUAGUAGGCAGAGUCCAUUUCGGGGUUCACCUCUGGGUGUGUAGAGAGCCUCACAGCUGGAGCCUUAUGUACGAUGCCCUAAUCUGCCAGUUCCCCCAGUCCCACCCCCCUCCAAGCAAGACAGGUGUUAACAUCUCAGUGACCAUCUGUUCUCGGUUGUGGGGACAACAGCCUUCAUGAGGAAGAACCCCCUUCAGUGACUUCCCUUCUGAGCUCUCAGCCCUCCUGUUCUGCUGAAAUAGGUACUGCCUUCUCUGGGCAAAGGAGUAGAGAAGCUAGCAAGAGUUCUGUCCUUUGGCUUGUAUAGGUUAUCUGUUGCUGUGUAAGAAACCACCUGCAAUGGCGAGGGCUUCUCUCGGUGGGGAUUCAGGAGCUGCUGAGCAUGGAGACUUUAGCAUAGGCUCUCAGAAGAUACAGGUAGUCUGGGUGUGGGCCGCUCUCAUCUGCAGCUGGAGAAUUCCACUUUUUUUUGUGGCCAUCAGCAGGAUUCCUUCCUUGAUCAUAUCCCCAUGGGUCUCGGGGUAAAGUCUGUGCCAGAGCACCCUGCUUCCUCCUGAAUGGUUGACCCCAGAGGAGGUAGAAGAAAGUUACAGUGCCUUUAAUUCGCCAUGCCCUAAAAGGAGGAAAAGAGGAGAUGAGGGAGGUGGAGGCAGUCACAGCCAUAAGCUAUUAGGACAGACUUCUAUCUGCUUGUCCUAGGGAGAGGCGGCAGGAAGUGAAGAUUCCCAGAUCUACACCCUCAACUGCCAUCUUCUCAAGAAUGCUUGCUUUGCAGGUCUCUGAGGCGGCCGCUUUAAGCAUUGCUUACCACUUCUGUUUGCCUUUAGCCACGAAUUGACUAAAGGAACUGGGGGCAUUCUGGGGAGCUGCUUGUCAGGCAGGUAACAAAGGAUGUUAGAUGUUAGGUUCCUGAGCUGCAGAACAAACAGCAGUUCCCUUUCCCUUCUGGUGAUGGUGUGGAAGCCAGGUGCCAGGUGAGUCAGUGCAUUGGUCAAGGUCUCCCACCCAGAAGCAGCGUCUCUGUGAGCCAGGCCAGCUCAGCAUGCAGAGGAGCAAACGAACAAAUCACCUCCUGGGUGCCUUGUUGGAAGUGUGCUCUUAAAGAAACCUGUAAGAGAAGCUUGAGCGGUAGCUCACCAGUGCCUCGGAUCUCACGGGAUGUCUGCUGCUUCCUGCUAGCUGGUCUCGCCAUCCUUCGGUGGAAGCUCUUGUUGGGAUUGGUGUGCUGUCCUUCACUAGCAGUUUCUUUCUUGUAGCCAUACUUGCUUUAGCGUGUGCUGGAGGUCCUAGUGGACUGUGGGUUUGGGCCGGGGGCUGGCCUGGGUACUGUCUCCUUGGGCUUCUCGGACCUUCCCAGUUGAGUUGGGUUCCACUGAGUGUCCAGACACCCAGCUCAUGCACACGGCUCCGGUGUUGGCAGCCAUGUAUCGGGGAUGGAACCUUCUUCCCAUCUCUAUCUUGAGUGUUGGCGGCUUGAGGGGGUUGUGCCAUAGCCCUUUCACUCCCUCGAGAAGGAAGGCACCACUGUCUUCAUGUAUGUAGUUCAAGUUCUUUGAUGUGUUUUCUGGACUCCAUGCCCACGGCAGCUAUUUAUUAAUGUGCGAAACUCAAUCACUGACCCAUCCUUACCACAGGAAGGUGGGGCCUUCCCAUGUAGUGGGGGAAGACCAUUUCUUAGGGCAGAAGGUUCUGUCUGAACUUGGAGUGGGGCAUGGUUCCUCCAACCCCUAGCCUCUCAUCUUUUACUGUCGGGAAUUGGGUUUCUGCUGUUGACUCGGUCCUGCAGUGCUUAGCAGUGUUUCCUGCUCUGGUAACGGGUUUCUGCAUGGUGGCUUUUUGAGGCUAGCUCAUAAAAACUUGACUGAAGACUAAGGAUGAGUGACAGGUCCUCAGUUUUCCAGUUAACCAAUCAAAAUACCUUCCCCACCGUGUGAAAUUAUAGCUUUCCUUUAGGCAGGUCUUGGAACAUGGUGCCUGUUGGCAGAACUUAACGUCAGGUGAUCCAUGGUCUCUCCCGCCUGCUCAGCUCUUUAUAGCCCUGCUGGCCAUACUGCGUGCCCAGUAGAAAAAGACCUACUGCGCUGAGAUACUUCCCAGCAGAUGCAGAUUCUGGUUGACAUUUGUGAGGUAUAAGGGUGACAGCAAGAGGCUGGAUGUACUGGUAUAUACAUGGCUGUGCCCCUGCCAGGGCUUCAGACCCAGACUCCCAUGAAUCCAGCACAGAACGCCCGUUCUUGCCUCUAUACCCCCUUCCUCUCCAUUUCACUCUUGAAAACUGCCCAGCACUGACCUUGGGAUUAUGGCUGGGGAACGGGACAGUGGGGACACCAGCAGGAGGCAGGGCCCAUGGGGACCACACAGGCACAAGCCAAUGCCUUUACCCCAAUU
rnacentral:lncRNA from 1 species